AUUAUCUUUAAAAUAAAUUUACUGUAAGAGAAGUACUUGAGUUUAGUUCGUAAAUAUUUGGCUCGAUUGCAGUACAUUUAUUCAGUUGAAGGCAGAUAUUCACUGCACAACCACUUCGAAAUCAAACAUUGAAGGCUACAAACAGAAAUGCCGCUGGACAAAGACAAUCCAUCUCAUCGUGAUUCCUCUGACAAGUUCGAUGCCAAGUUUAGUGGAAACGCUGCGUACGAUAAAGUUGUUCGUCCCAUCGUACAUGGCGCAUACCAUGCAGGUCGUUAUGCUACCGGUGGAAAUCCCGAGGAAAAGGCUCGUGCCAAGGAUCAAUUCAGUAAAGUUGGGACUGGACAGACCCAAACCGAAUAUUUAAAGGCUCAUCGCGAGCAAAAUAAGAAAUAAAUUGUCCGAACAAAGUGUGCCCAAGUGU